rnacentral:rRNA from 1 species
UACAGAGGUCUCAAGCGUUGUUCGGAUUCAUUGGGCGUAAAGGGUGCGUAGGUGGCGCCGUAAGUCGGGUGUGAAAUUUCGGAGCUUAACUCCGAAACUGCAUUCGAUACUGCGGUGCUUGAGGACUGGAGAGGAGACUGGAAUUCAUGGUGUAGCAGUGAAAUGCGUAGAGAUCAUGAGGAACACCAGUGGCGAAGGCGGCUCACUGGACUGGUACUGACGCUGAGGCGCGAAAGCGUGGGGAGCAAACGGG